GACAGAAGGUGCAAGCGUUACUCGGAAUUACUGGGCGUAAAGCGUCUGUAGGUGUCGCGUAUAGUCUGUCGUGAAAUCACGAAGCUCAACUUCGUUGCACACGAUGGAAACUUACGCGAUCGAGUCACUCAGAGGCAUCUGGAAUGUCGUGUGUAGGGGUAAAAUCCGUAGAUACACGAUGGAACGCCGAAAGCGAAAGCAGGAUGCUGGGAGUGCACUGACACUCAGAGACGAAAGCGUGGGGAGCAAA
rnacentral:rRNA from 1 species